UACGUAGGGUACAAGCGUUGUCCGGAAUUAUUGGGCGUAAAGAGCUCGUAGGCGGUUCGUCGCGUCGGCUGUGAAAUCCCGAGGCUCAACCUCGGGUCUGCAGUCGAUACGGGCGGACUGGAGUACUGCAGGGGAGACUGGAAUUCCUGGUGUAGCGGUGAAAUGCGCAGAUAUCAGGAGGAACACCGGUGGCGAAGGCGGGUCUCUGGGCCGUAACUGACGCUGAGGAGCGAAAGCAUGGGGAGCGAACAGG
rnacentral:rRNA from 1 species